UACGUAGGGGGCAAGCGUUGUCCGGAUUUAUUGGGCGUAAAGAGCGUGUAGGCGGCCUGACAAGUCUGCUGUGAAAACUCGAGGCUCAACCUCGAGAUGUCGGCGGAAACUGUCUGGCUAGAGUCCGGAAGAGGAGAGUGGAAUUCCGUGGUGUAGCGGUGAAAUGCGCAGAUAUCAGGAAGAACACCUAUGGCGAAGGCAGCGUCUCUGGGACGGUACUGACGCUGAGACGCGAAAGCGUGGGGAGCGAACAGG
rnacentral:rRNA from 1 species